UACGUAGGGGGCAAGCGUUGUUCGGAAUUACUGGGCGUAAAGCGUGCGUAGACGGUUAUGUAAGUCGGGUGUGAAAGCCCCGGGCUCAACCUGGGAAUUGCAUUCGAGACUGCAUAGCUAGGAUGCGGAAGAGGGAAGUGGAAUUCCCGGUGUAGUGGUGAAAUGCGUAGAUAUCGUAAGGAAGACCAGUGGCGAAGGCGGGUCUCUGGACAGUUCCUGACGCUGAGGCACGAAGGCCAGGGGAGCAAACGGG
rnacentral:rRNA from 1 species